rnacentral:rRNA from 1 species
AACGAACGCUGGCGGCAUGCCUAACACAUGCAAGUCGAACGAGACCUUCGGGUCUAGUGGCGCACGGGUGCGUAACGCGUGGGAACCUUCCCUUAGGUUCGGAAUAACUCCCCGAAAGGGGUGCUAAUACCGGAUAAUGUCUUCGGACCAAGGAUUUAUCGCCUUUGGAUGGGCCCGCGUUGGAUUAGCUAGUUGGUAGGGUAAAAGCCUACCAAGGCGACGAUCCAUAGCUGGUCUGAGAGGAUGAUCAGCCACACUGGGACUGAGACACGGCCCAGACUCCUACGGGAGGCAGCAGUGGGGAAUAGAGGAAAGUGGGCGAAAGCCUGAACCAGCAAUGCCGCGUGAGUGAUGAAGGCCUUAGGGUUGUAAAGCUCUUUUAACCGGGAUGAUAAUGACAGUACCGGGAGAAUAAGCUCCGGCUAACUCCGUG